ACGCUCGACACCUACGGGUGGCAGCAGUGGGGAAUAUUGCACAAUGGGGGGAAACCCUGAUGCAGCGACGCCGCGUGGAGGAAGAAGGUCUUCGGAUUGUAAACUCCUGUUGUUAGGGGAAAAAGAGGAUGGUACCCAACAAGGAAGUGACGGCUAACUACGUGCCAGCAGCCACGGUAAUCUGAGGCGGGCUGGCAAGGC
rnacentral:rRNA from 1 species